rnacentral:rRNA from 1 species
GACGAACGCUGGCGGCGUGCCUAAUACAUGCAAGUCGAGCGAAUGACGAGAAGCUUGCUUCUCUGAUUUAGCGGCGGACGGGUGAGUAACACGUGGGCAACCUGCCCUACAGAUCGGGAUAACUCAGGGAAACCUGGGCUAAUACCGGAUAAUCCUUCGAAUCACAUGUUUUGAGGUUGAAAGGCGCUUCGGCGUCACUGUAGGAUGGGCCCGCGGUGCAUUAGCUAGUUGGUGGGGUAACGGCCUACCAAGGCAACGAUGCAUAGCCGACCUGAGAGGGUGAUCGGCCACAUUUGGACUGAGACACGGCCCAAACUCCUACGGGAGGCAGCAGUAGGGAAUCUUCCACAAUGGACGAAAGUCUGAUGGAGCAACGCCGCGUGAGUGAUGAAGGUUUUCGGAUCGUAAAACUCUGUUGUAAGGGAAGAACAAGCACGUUAGGAAAUGAACGUACCUUGACGGUACCUUAUUAGAAAGCCACGGCUAACUACGUGCCAGCCGCCGCGGUAA